UGUUACCUGGAUUGCUUUCUGGAUGCCAGAAUUGCCUUCCUGAUGCUUCCCAGCCCAGGUCUCUUCUGAACUUGCUGUCUGUGGGUGUUUUGCCCCCGUGGCUGCUUUGACUGGCCGGUAAGAGGACCACGUCCUGCUCUUCAGCCCUGAACUUGAACUCUGCCUUUCUCAGGCCUUCUGGGUUCAUGCUGCAGCUGCUUCUCCCCUGCCGCCCUGGGUGAGUGGACUGGUGGGGCUGUGCCUCCUGCAAAACAAUUGGCAGCUCUCCUAGACUGAUCGGGCGUCUUCUGGAAUGAGUAUCCAUCUCCAGGUUGGAUUGGAUCAAAUCCCGCAUCGAUAAAUACUCACUACGUUGCCUGCAGCUUGUAUCUGCUGUCUGGCGGAUUGAGGACUGGUGAGCGGGAUGUGUUUCCCACAAGAGCCAUCAGGCAGCCCCUGUGCACUGAAGUCCCCUCUUGCUCAGACACCCUCCAUGACUUCAAACACUCCUGUGUGACUCUCUUGAAGACAGAAGCCACGUGGCGUUCAUCUGGUCUUAGAACUCCCUGUUCGUUGGCUUCAAACCCUCUUCUUCUUCUACAGUG